rnacentral:rRNA from 1 species
AUUGAACGCUGGCGGCAUGCCUUACACAUGCAAGUCGAACGGCAGCACGGGAGCAAUCCUGGUGGCGAGUGGCGAACGGGUGAGUAAUAUAUCGGAACGUGCCCAGUCGUGGGGGAUAACGUAGCGAAAGCUACGCUAAUACCGCAUACGAUCUAUGGAUGAAAGCGGGGGAUCGCAAGACCUCGCGCGAUUGGAGCGGCCGAUAUCAGAUUAGGUAGUUGGUGAGGUAAAGGCUCACCAAGCCGACGAUCUGGAGCUGGGCUGAGAGAACGACCAGCCACACUGGGACUGAGACACGGCCCAGACUCCUCCGGGAGGCAGCAGUGGGGAAUUUUAGACAAUGGUCGCAAGCCUGAUCCAGCAAUGCCGCGUGCAGGAUGAAGGCCUUCGGGUUGUAAACUGCUUUUGUACGGAGCGAAAAGGCUUCCACUAAUACUGGGGGCUCAUGACGGUACCGUAAGAAUAAGCACCGGCUAACUACGUGCCAGCCGCCGCAGUAAUAC